UACGUAGGGUGCAAGCGUUGUCCGGAAUUAUUGGGCGUAAAGAGCUCGUAGGUGGCCUGUCGCGUCGGCUGUGAAAACUCGGGGCUCAACUCCGAGCUUGCAGUCGAUACGGGCAGGCUAGAGUUCGGCAGGGGAGACUGGAAUUCCUGGUGUAGCGGUGAAAUGCGCAGAUAUCAGGAGGAACACCGGUGGCGAAGGCGGGUCUCUGGGCCGAUACUGACACUGAGGAGAGAAAGCGUGGGGAGCGAACAGG
rnacentral:rRNA from 1 species